GGAUGUUUAAGAUUUUGUGAGAGAAAAAAAAGGAAAUUAGUUUUCUUCUUCCGUAGGAUUAAAUCAGGUCAGAUUCUUAGGAGAAUUUUUCUGAAAGAAGAAACCAAAGAACAAAACUCAAUCUUCUUUUCAGUUAACCCCAAAUAUCUUUGAGCGGCAUGAAAAUCAAAUAAAAAAAUCUUUUGGACGAGAUUAUUCCCGCUUGGUAUGAAUCUGUGCAACUAAAAGCCCCAAAAUCAUGAAGAAUUGCAUCCAAUUUCAUCUCCAUCCUAUGAGUUUCUGAUUUGACUACACACGAGAAUCUGAGUGGAGAGUCAGACUAUGAUGGGUAUGCUGACUAAAGCCUUGCAUAAUUUGAAGGAUAGUUAAAGGGUCAAGGAGAUGAAAGUUAUGGUGAUAGCACCAGUUCUGAUGGAUCUAUCAAAAUUUUGACCAUCUUGAUUGUUGCGGGUUUUUAAACUCAGAGGGAAUGAUGAACAUGAAGGCAUCGAGACUACCAAGGAUCUUCUGCAUCUACACAUCACUCAGCUCCUGCAACUACACAAGGAUCUCGUGCAUCUAGCCAGCAUUAAAAUGGAUUUACACCAUCGUAUUCUUUUCCUACUAAGAAAUCUCCUACUUGAGAGAAGUCUACUAUGCCUGAUUCCCCUAUUAGACACACUUCUCCAACUGAAACGCAGGAAUAUGAUACAGCUAAACAAAUGUAUCUUGCAUCUAAGCAUCAGUCCUCUAACUCUCAACAUGCAUCUCAGUCGAUGGCAUCUAAAAAACUGAACUCCCAAUGACUUGAAAAUGGACACUGGCCUAUAACACAUUGGUACUGUUCUUCCAUCAGUGUCAGAUCAGGAAAUACACGGAGUUCUAAUUGAUGAUGAUUGGAUCAAGUGUCGACUGAAUAAGCGAUAAAGACGGAUAAUUCAUUGCCCGUGCCAUCUCACGAGCUCAAAAAAAUACUUGAUGUUGUUGAUAGUUUUGUAUCUUUGACGAAAAGACUUGUGAUCUCUUGCUCUACUAUGCAUCCACUUUCAGAUCCUGAUGAACAUGGUGCUGGGACUAAGAAGAGAAAGAACAUUGUCAACAUCUCCUCUAAUUUCACCUAUUCCAUUUAGAUUUUGAAGUGGGGAAUUUAAUACAUUGAUGCAACGUUGAUACCACAGCUUUUAUCGCAUGUAUCCAUGAUCUUCCUAAUAACAUAUUAUAUGGCGAUUCCAUAUCCACGACCACAAUGUUACAUGUGUUUCGAUUUCUCCAAGUGGAAUUCGUACCACUAUUUCUCCUUUAGAUUUUGUUGUGGAUUUUCCAAAGCCGUGAACAAAAUAUGUUGAACUGGACAUUUCUUCGCCUUUAAAUCCCAUUCCCCGGAAUGCAUGAUAAAAUAUUAUAUCAACU